AAAAAUAUGUAUAUAUACAACAAAGCCUCCAGCCUUAAUUUUAUUCAUUAUAGCUUUACAAGCUGCUACAAAAAAAUGGCUAUGAAUAUUUUACUGAAA